GGAAGUGAGAAUGCUGACAUGAGUAGCGACAAAGAGGGUGAGAGACCCUCUCGCCGAAAGUCCAAGGUUUCCUGCGCAAUGCUAAUCAGCGCAGGGUUAGUCGGCCCCUAAGGCGAGGCAGAAAUGCGUAGUCGAUGGGAAGCAGGUUAAUAUUCCUGCACCAGUGGGUAGUGACGGAUCUCGUGUGUCGUCAGUCCUUAUCGGAUUGAACUGGCGGCGAAGAGGUCCCUGGAAAUAGCUCCCACAUUAGACCGUACCCCAAACCGACACAGGUGGGCUGGUAGAGCAUACCAAGGCGCUUGAGAGAACUAUGCUGAAGGAACUCGGCAAAUUGCUCCCGUAAGUUCGCGAGAAGGGAGCCUCUGCAUUGGGCAACCAGUGUGGAGGGGCACAGACCAGGGGGUGGCGACUGUUUACUAAAAACACAGGGCUCUGCGAAGUCGUAAGA
rnacentral:rRNA from 1 species